GCUGGGUGCGGUGGCUCACACCUGUAAUCCCAGAAUUUUGGGAGGCUGAGGCAGGUGGAUCACUUGAGGCCAGGAGUUCAAGACCAGCCUGGCCAACAUGGUGAAACCCUGUCUCUA
rnacentral:SRP_RNA from 1 species